AUGCCUUGCUUCCGAGGAGCAUGCCUGUUAGAAAGUCUGAAAUUCUCAACCUCUGUUACUUUUUUUGUUUCAAGAGCUGGAAGAGGAGGUUGCUGGCUUUUGUUGAAAGAGUCGGCUCCUCUGAAAUACAUUAGGGGGACCCAUCGUUGAUUAGCUCCCUGGUGUGAUAGUUAUCUACGCCGUGGCUCAUCUCGAUAUGGUGAGGUUCAGCUUUCUAACGAGACAACAACAACUGUCUUUGAUUAUUUUGACCUCAAAUCAGGUAGGACUACCCGCUGAACUUAAGCAUAUCAAUAAGCGGAGGAA
rnacentral:rRNA from 1 species